rnacentral:rRNA from 1 species
AUACGUAGGUGGCAAGCGUUGUCCGGAUUUAUUGGGUUUAAAGGGUGCGUAGGCGGCCCGUUAAGUCAGCGGUGAAAUACCCCGGCCCAACCGGGGGGGUGCGACUGAUACUGGCGGGCUUGGGUCCCGGCGAGGCAGGCGGAAUUGACGGUGUAGCGGUGAAAUGCAUAGAUAUCGUCAAGAACACCGAUAGCGAAGGCAGCCUGCCAGUGGGGUACCGACGCUGAGGCACGAAAGUGCGGGGAUC